ACUCCUACGGGAGGCAGCAGUGGGGAAUCUUAGACAAUGGGGAAAGCCCAUCGAUCUAGCCAUGCCGCGUGGACGAUGAAGGCCUUAGGGUUGUAAAGUCCUUUCAGCUAGGGAAGAUAAUGACGGUACCAGCAGAAGAAGCCCCGGCUAACUCCGUGCCAGCAGCCGCGGUAAUACGGAGGGGCUAGCGUUGUUCGGAAUUACUGGGCGUAAAGCGCACGUAGGCGGACUAUUAAGUCAGGGGUGAAAUCCCGGGGCUCAA
rnacentral:rRNA from 1 species